rnacentral:lncRNA from 1 species
GGGCGCCGGACACAGGGCGCCGCCUCGGCCUCGCUCUUCGCCUAAAAGGCGGAGGCAGCUCUCUGUGCCCCCUCGCAUUGCCAAAACACCGGAUUUCCACAGCGUUGCUGACUGCAGGAAUAACAAAGAGGGGAGAGGAAAACAAAAGGAAACCAAACAAAAACCAACCACGACGCGUGGGAAGUUCAGGGAAGCUUAAAGGUGUGGAAGGGACUAAAUAAAUUCCACGCGUCUGUUGAGGAAUAGAGUUUUUCUGUGUUUUACAAUAUACGGUUCAUUGCAAUCUUUAUCGCUGAAUCUUGCGUUUAAAGAUUUGGAGGACGCGUGUUGCUACUGCGUUCUUGUGUGCAGCCUGUGUUAACCACUCCUUUGAGGACUGCAAGAAAAAGCAGCUAUCUUCUCCCAGAUUAGCCUGCACAUUACUGAUAAAAUCAGGAGCAUGAUCCGUUACCUCACUCAGCGUAACCACUAGACAUAUGCUCCUGAGCGGACUGGCAGACGCGGGACUGCGAAGGGAUCAGGGAUAUCCGUGUGUGACACGGAGCCAACUCGACUGCCUGGGACGCUCCUGAGUUGUGCCGGAAGGUGAUGUUCGGUGACAGCUGUGUCAAGGGACGCUGGAGGCCUGAGGGUGCCGGAAAAGGCAGCCUCCUGGGAAAGAAGCAGCUGUGUGAAUGAGGUACCUAGCAGUCUCAUCUGCCAUGAGGUGCUGACGGGCUCAAAGACCAAGAGGCAGUGUUCAAGGAGGUGCAGGACGCCCCUGAAAUGGUUCCCUGCUCUUUCCUCAUCACACCUCCUCAUCACACAUCAUUUCCUAAAUGCCAGAGGAAGAUAUUAUGUUGCUAGAUCACAUGCAUAGACAACGAAGAUGGUGUUAAGGGAUGCCAUGAGGGCUGCUGUCUCUGGCAGACUCCAGGAUGUGGGAAUUCCUCCUGCCCGGCCGCCAGAGCCCACCCGGGGGAACCCAGAGACCUGA